CAGCUCCUGGGGGUGUCAGGCCUUCCUCAGUGGGGUCUUGUUACAUCUGCAGCAGACUUAGCACCCUUGCCAGCCUCCAGCCAGCCCAUACAUAGUAACCACUGCAGGGCUGAUGCUGGCUGGCACCCACACUGGGAAGAGGAAGGGAAUGCAAUCAUCGCCAGCCACACCCCAAGUGGUGACUCCAUCAGCCAGACAACUCCGAGGGCUCCUCAAGACAGGAUCUGUGCUCAGCAUCCUGUGUGCAGCAGUGUGCUCUGGGAUGUGAUGUAGUCCAGGACUAAAUUAAGAAGAGAAAAAGUGAGCUGAGUGGUAGUCUGCUUCCUGGCUGCAGACUUGACAUGACCAGCCUCCACGCUCCUGCCUCCACACUUUCCCGCCACGAGGGACUGUGCACCCUCCAACCGUGAGCCACCACAAGCCUCCCUUCCUUAAGCUGUCACGGCAAUGACAAUAACAAACACAAGGAGGUAUAGGCACCAAGUGGGGCUGGCUACGACAGCAGGCCCUGACUCUGGUGACACCGAGGUAGCAAUGAGGUGACAUGCAGGCAGGAACCCUGGGUUAAAGCCUCUAGGAGCCUCUGGCUUCUCAAUGGCAGAGACAGGAGAGGAU
rnacentral:lncRNA from 1 species